rnacentral:rRNA from 1 species
GAUGAACGCUGGCGGCGUGCCUAAUACAUGCAAGUCGAGCGAAAAGACGAGGAGCUUGCUGGUCUGACGUUAGCGGAGGAGGGGAGAGAAACACGAGGAAAACCUACCUAAAAGAGUGGGAUAAAUUCGGGAAACGGGAGCUAAUAGCGGAUAAGAUAUUGAACCGCAUGGGUGAAUAGAGAAAGACGGUGUUGCGGUAACUAAUAGAUGGAUACGAGCCGCAUGAGCUAGUUGGUCAGGUAACGGCUUACUAAGGCAACGAUGCGUAUCCGACCUGAGAGGGUGAUCGGCCACCUUGGAACUUGGACACGGUCCAUACUCCUACGGGAGGCAGCAGUAUGGAAUCUUCCGCAAUGGGCGAAAGCUUGACGGAGCAACGCCGCGUGAGUGAUGAAGGUCUUCGGUUCGUAAAACUCUGUUUUUAGUUAUGAACAAAUUUGUAAGUAACUAUGCACGGCGUGACGGUACCUAAUCAGAAAGCCACGGCUAACUACGUG